rnacentral:rRNA from 1 species
GACGAACGCUGGCGGCGUGCCUAAUACAUGCAAGUAGAACGCUGAAGAGAGGAGCUUGCUCUUCUUGGAUGAGUUGCGAACGGGUGAGUAACGCGUAGGUAACCUGCCUGGUAGCGGGGGAUAACUAUUGGAAACGAUAGCUAAUACCGCAUAAUAGUAGAUGUUGCAUGACAUUUGCUUAAAAGGUGCAAUUGCAUCACUACCAGAUGGACCUGCGUUGUAUUAGCUAGUUGGUGAGGUAACGGCUCACCAAGGCAACGAUACAUAGCCGACCUGAGAGGGUGAUCGGCCACACUGGGACUGAGACACGGCCCAGACUCCUACGGGAGGCAGCAGUAGGGAAUCUUCGGCAAUGGACGGAAGUCUGACCGAGCAACGCCGCGUGAGUGAAGAAGGUUUUCGGAUCGUAAAGCUCUGUUGUAAGAGAAGAACGAGUGUGAGAGUGGAAAGUUCACACUGGACG